GACGAACCGUGCGAACGUUGUUCGGAUUCACUGGGCUUAAAGGGCGCGUAGGCGGACAAUCAAGUCGAGGGUGAAAUCUUUCAGCUUAACUGGAAACGUGCCUUCGAUACUGGUGGUCUCGAGGGAGGUAGGGGCAUGCGGAACUUCCGGUGGAGCGGUGAAAUGCGUAGAUAUCGGAAGGAACGCCGGUGGCGAAAGCGGCGUGCUGGACCUCUUCUGACGCUGAGGCGCGAAAGCUAGGGGAGCGAACGGGAUUAGAUACCCCGGUAGUCCUAGCCCUAAACGAUGGGCACUAGAUUGUGGACUUAACAUGGGUUCCCAGUCGAAGCAAAAGUGUUAAGUGCCCCGCCUGGGGAGUAUGGUCGCAAGGCUGAA
rnacentral:rRNA from 1 species